UCUUAUCAGCACUGAGAAGGGUGAUUGCAUGGCAUAUGUCUCUCAAGGUGCUGAUCUUCAGCUAAAUGCAUAUUGUGCAUUCUCUAUUCACCCAUUUAUUUCAAAUACAUUUUUCCCCUUUCAUAAUUGAUGUGAGCUCCCUGAUAUCAACGACAAUAUCAGAUUCUAACCAUUUUCUGAUUUCAUAAUCAACUUAAAAGAUGGCUCCAUGUCAUGACUAUUGCUUCUGCAACAUGCUUUCUAUUUCCUGUGGCCAUGUGGGACAUGAUCAUAGGAUCACCUUCUGAUAACGGUAUGGAGUUUCCAUUCUCUGCUUGGGCUUUUCUGAGCACCAUUCUCUUCGAAGUUAUGAUGAUAUUCUAUGUUGACAGUAUUACAGAAGAAAUGUCAUGAAGAUUGCACGGGACAUUACUAAAAAAUCGUUUGCAGUUUAUACAUGAAAGAUGAAUUGCUUACCUAGAUGUCAGACGUUAUAAUAUUUAUGUAAAGAGUGGUGUUUAUAAAUUUGGUGAUUUUGGAUGUGUGCAAUUCUCACGAUAAGAGCUUGCCAAUGGAAUAGUGAUUUUGUAUAUUGUUCAAUUUAUAUAAAGAAUGUCUUUAAUUUGGUGUUGUUUAGAAUGUAUCUUUGA